rnacentral:lncRNA from 1 species
CAACAUGAUAUAAUUCUGAGGCUAUGCUUGAACCCCUACACGAACUAGGCAUGGUGGGAAUGACUUAACUAAGUACAAUGACGCCAACAUGAUAUAAUUUUGAGGCAUCAUUCUCUAGAGGCCAAAUUAGAUGGGUACUUGCAAGAGAUGCAAAUGAGUAAGCGUACUCUCUCAUUAUUAUUAACGCUAGCCAACAUGAUAUAAUUUUGAGGUGGGCUUGGUAAUAGUGAGCCUCCCAUACCCUACUAAGAGUUUCCUCCAAAACUCUCGAAUUCCGAUGAGGGAUAUGGAAUUUGCCAAAAAUA